rnacentral:rRNA from 1 species
UACGUAGGCAGCAAACGUUGUUCGGAGUUACUGGGCGUAAAGGGCGCGUAGGCGGCUUAUCAAGUCAGGCGUGAAAUUCCCGGGCUCAACCUGGGGGCUGCGCUUGAUACUGAUUGGCUUGAAUGCGGGAGAGGAUAGUGGAAUUCCCAGUGUAGAGGUGAAAUUCGUAGAUAUUGGGAAGAACACCGGUGGCGAAGGCGGCUAUCUGGCCCGUAAUUGACGCUGAGGCGCGAAAGCGUGGGGAGCAAACAGG